rnacentral:tRNA from 1 species
AUUAAAGUGGCAGAAAAAUUAAUGCUAGGAAUUUAAGCUUCCUCUAUGAUUAUUUCCUUUAAUA